UCAUACUGCAGUGCACUGUACACCAUUAAUUGUAUUAUGAAAGACAAGCUAACGUGCAUUUCCCACAGUCUAAAUUACUUGCAGAGAGUCAAGAAAUGUUUCUGAUUCUAUUCUGGGCCUGACAGUAAAAAGUCAAAGAUAAGUUUGCUUGGAAAUGUUUAGAUCAAGGUCUCAUUGCUCUGAUAGUGCUAAAAAUUGGAGGCUUUGAUAUCUUUGGGAAAUGUAAACUCAGUACAAGUUUUUGAGCUUCCCAGUACUGCCCUUUAGCCAACAUUUAUUCCCCCUCCUUCAGUUUUCUUUCAAUUUUUGCUGAGUUUUCUGUGUUCUUGCAUUUCAACAUGUUUAUCUUCAUGCCAGAAGCUACUACACUUACUUAAUUUCUGGCUGUCACACAGCUAAUAAAAACACUUUGGUAAAAGGGGAGGGGGGAAUUGCAAUGCUGUUUUUAAGGUCUCUGAUGAGUUUAUUCAACAAAUGCACUUUAGCAAGCCAUUUGGUCCCUUUGCAUGUACAGUGGUCCCUCGGGUUAAGUACUUAAUUCGUUCCGGAGGUCCGUUCUUAACCUGAAACUGUUCUUAACCUGAAGCACCACUUUAGCUAAUGGGGCCUCCUGCUGCCGCCGUGCCGCCGGAGCCAGAUUUCUGUUCUUAUCCUGAAGCAAAGUUCUUAACCUGAAGCACUAUUUCUGGGUUAGCGGAGUGUGUAACCUGAAGCGUAUGUAACCUGAAGCGUAUGUAACCCGAGGUACCACUGUAUUAUGUCAAUUACAUGCCUAUUCACAUGCCAAACAGCGGGAAGAAUGAGAUGGAUAUUGGUAUUGCAGCAGUGAAUGUGCAAACUCCACAUUGCACCAAACUUCAUUUCAGCCAAGGCCAUUUCAAGUCAUCUGAGAAGCUGUUGUGCAGAUGACGCCUUAAGGUCGUGUGGCAGCACCUACUUUCUCAUUAGCACAAUGUUGCAUUUGUCAUAUUUACAAAUGGUUCCAUAAAAAGAUUGUGCGAAAUGUGCUUCACAGGACUGUUAUGGGAAGCAAAAGGCAAACUUAAGAAGUUGUUCACUCGCAGUUAAGGAAUGUAAAAGGUCCCUAGGGUGUAGGAUGACCUUUAAGUUCUGCCAGAAGACUGGUAAGACAUAUGCUUUCAUUUAAAAUAAAUGUGUAUCUUGCUCUUUCCCCUAUGAAAACAAGAGCAAAAUCGUGAAAAACUGCUCAAGAGCGUUUGCCACACAGCAAUAUCCAAUUUGAACAAGAUUUUCAUGUGAACAUUUUUCUACUGGCUUCUCCGUAAUGAAGAUGGCAUUAAAGUUGUGGAUGGCUUUCUAAAUGUAUUUUGUGGUUUUUUUGUAUCUUCAGCGUGUACAUUUUACCUUUGAUCUCCUUGUCUUAUGAAGGUAAAUGUGUAGUUGCCAAGGUAAUGUGACAUUUUGAGCCUCAGAAAAGACAAUGCCCUACUGCAUGCCAGGGCCAUAGCUAGGGGGUGGUGAGGUGGGCCCCAGCCAGGGGCACAGGCGAUGGAGGGGUGCAAAAUCAGCUAAAAAUAUGUCCAUAAAUAUAAAUAUUGAUUACUGCCUCAUAAGAAAUGGUUUUAAAUAGAGGGUGAAUUGAAUGGGAGGGGGAAUGUUGGACAAGAGGCAGAAAGAAGAGCUAAUUAGUCUGUGGGUAGGGGGUGCAAUCUGGACGGUUCUGCCAGAGGCGCAAGAUCACCUAGCUAUGGCUCUGCUGCUUGCUAUGAUACUGCAAACAAUACAGUGGUACUUCGGGUUACAUACGCUUCAGGUUACAUACACUUCAGGUUACAGACUCCGCUAACCCAGAAAUAGUGCUUCAGGUUAAGAACUUUGCUUCACGAUGAGAACAGAAAUCAUGCUCCGGCGGCGCGGCAGCAGCAGGAGGCCCCAUUAGCUAAAGUGGUGCUUCAGGUUAAGAGCAGUUUCAGGUUAAGAACGGACCUCCGGAACGAAUUAAGUACUUAACCCGAGGGACCACUGUACCUUCAUGUGCAAAGGGACUUGUCUCACCUCUGAACAGGGUAACGUUUUCAUACAGGGAGUCAGGGAGUCCUACUUAUCAUUUUCCUCUUGCCUUUAUACAAGAUUGGAUCGUGUGUUUUAUUUCUCAUGGGGCAGGCUACUUACUGGAAAGGGUAAGAAAUACCACAUGGAGUUUCUUUCAGAAGGCAGUGUGGUUAGAUGCAAGGUUCUUGUAACUGAUGGUUGUGGUUGCAUUGGCAGGCGAUAGUAACUUUAGGAGAGCCCUGAAUUUAAAAAGUAUGAGGAACAGUAACCUAGUUGUAAGGUUAGACCUUUGAAAACUGAAUUGUCAACACAACUGUGCUUAGUCUAUGCCCAUAGAUAGACUAUAUUAUCGUCCAGCAUUACUGUCACUUUGCUUGUGGUUGGGAAAUAUGGAGCUGGGUAUUGAAUUGCAUAUUUUGCAGCUCUUCCAAGAGCAAUUAUUUCAUGUACAGCUAAAAGCUUUGAAAAUAAUUAAAACUCUGCUGCAAGUGACAUGAGAGAAGGAGAGAGAGAGAGAGAGAAGUCAUUCAAUGACAGUUAUGCUUCAUGGCCUUCAAGACUCCUUUCCACAGUUCUUAAAAGCAAUUAGAAGUAAGUAGCGAGUCUGGAUUGUUCAUCCCCUUUCACAGCUGCAAACUGAAUGGUACUCAUUAAGGUGUAAUCUGGUUUGAAUUUGCAGCUGUCUGCUUCCUAAGUUCCCUUUAUUUUUUAAAAUAUCUAUAGCCUCAAGCAACAAUAAUAAAGGGAAGAAAGAAGCAAAAUAGCAACGAUUUACCCUGCGGUAUUUCCAAGACCUCUUCCUUUCAUAUGUAUGAUCAUAGCUUCAAUCUUAUCCCACGCUUUUUAUGCAAUACUAUUCUCAACAGAAUCUUUAACAAUAUAGUUUCUGAGUACCAUUUUAACACAACAUAUAAACGAUGAAUUAAUGUAAGUGCAUUAGUGGUAAAGAGAGCUCUGUUUACCAGCUUAGGUUGAUACGCCAUCUGUGACCGGUGUCAGUGGUUGGACCUGCUUCAGUUAUUCAUACAUGAGUUACUUUCAAAGAUGACUACUGUAAGCUACUCUUACAGGACUGGUUUUGAGGAAGGUUCAAAAGCUCCAGUUUGUGCAAAAUGUUACUGUCCAGAUGUUGACGGGAGCCAACGGGGCGGUGGGGGGUGUUUCCCCUGAACUCAUAGCACCAAUUUUGCACCAGUUGCAUGCGUUAGUGGCAUGUUCCCAGGCAGAAUUAAAAGUACAGUGUGAAUAACCCUUAAAUUCCUAAAUUGGUUUGGGCCAGGAUAACUAAAGAACCAUCAAUCCCUGUAUAAUCCUGCCCAUAUAUUAAGAACAGCUACGAAGGUCCAGCUUGUAUGCCUGUCAGUAAAAUCUAUUAGGCUGGUGGCAUGAAAGACAGAUCCUUCUUGGUGGUGGCUCUGUUGUUAUAGAACUCCCUUUCUGGACGGUGCUUGCUCAUCUCCCCCCACCUGGUUCAACUGGGUCUUAAAAAUGUGUCUGUUCCAUGUUGCUUUUCCUUAACUGUGUUUCUUGAGACUUUGAGCUGCCUUACAAUAGUGUAUUCUUACGAUUUGACCCUUCAAAUCUUAUUUAUUUUUAAAUUUAUAUAUCACCCUUCAUCCAAAGAGCAGUUCACAAGAUAAAAAUACAGGAUAAAAAUAUAGCUUAAUGUUUUGCAUCUCAUUGGGUACAUGUCCUUGUGGGUGUUAUGCCUUAAAAGGCUGGCUAUAUAUACUUUAAUCGUCCUAACCAAAUGGUUGACUAUUUUAUGAUAUUCACUAAACAGGUGGUGGUAAUGGUAUUUGGCUGGCAAUAAAGAUAUUUAUAC